AACGGGUGAGUAACACGUGAGCAACCUGCCUUUCAGUGGGGGACAACAUUUGGAAACGAAUGCUAAUACCGCAUAAGCCCACGGUGCCGCAUGGCACAGAGGGAAAAGGAGCAAUCCGUUCUUUGAGAUGGCCUCGCGUCCGAUUAGCUAGUUGGUGAGGUAACGGCCCACCAAGGCAACGAUCGGUAGCCGGACUGAGAGGUUGAACGGCCACAUUGGGACUGAGACACGGCCCAGACUCCUACGGGAGGCAGCAUG
rnacentral:rRNA from 1 species